rnacentral:rRNA from 1 species
CCUACGGGUGGCUGCAGUGAGGAAUAUUGGUCAAUGGGCGUAAGCCUGAACCAGCCAAGUCGCGUGAGGGAAUACGGCCCUAUGGGUUGUAAACCUCUUUUGUCGGGGAGCAACGCCGGGUACGUGUCCCCGUCCUGAGAGUACCCGGAGAAAAAGCAUCGGCUAACUCCGUGCCAGCAGCCGCGGUAAUACGGAGGAUGCGAGCGUUAUCCGGAUUUAUUGGGUUUAAAGGGUGCGUAGGCGGACUUCCAAGUCAGCGGUAAAAUCGCGGGGCUCAACCUGGUUCCGCCGUUGAAACUGGGGGUCUUGAGUGGGCGAGAAGAAGGCGGAAUGCGUGGUGUAGCGGUGAAAUGCAUAGAGAUCACGCAGAACCCCGAUUGCGAAGGCAGCCUUCCGGCGCCCAACUGACGCUGAGGCACGAAAGCGCGGGGAGCGAACAGGAUUAGAUACCCGGGUAGUC